CCCUUAGAUGUUCUGGGCUGCACGCGCGCUACACUGAUGCGCUCAACGAGUUUUCGACCUUGCCCGAGAGGGUUGGGUAAUCUUGUUAAAACGCAUCGUGAUGGGGAUAGAUUAUUGUAAUUAUUAAUCUUCAACGAGGAAUGCCUAGUAAGCGCAAGUCAUCAGCUUGCGUUGAUUACGUCCCUGCCCUUUGUACACACCGCCCGUCGCUCCUACCGAUUGAAUGGUCCGGUGAAGCGUUCGGACCGUGGCCUUUGGACGGUUCGCCGUCUGUUGGCUGCGGGAAGUUCGUUAAACCUUAUCAUUUAGAGGAAGGAGAANUCGUANCA
rnacentral:rRNA from 1 species